UUUGAGUAACAUUUUUAAAUAAAUAAUUAAUAAAUUGUGAAUUUAUAUAAAAUUUUAUU
rnacentral:tRNA from 1 species